rnacentral:rRNA from 1 species
GACGAACGCUGGCGGCGUGCUUAACACAUGCAAGUCGAACGGAAAGGCCCUGCUUUUGUGGGGUGCUCGAGUGGCGAACGGGUGAGUAACACGUGAUUAACCUGCCCUUGACUUUGGGAUAACUUCAGGAAACUGGGGCUAAUACCGGAUAGGAGCUCCUGCUGCAUGGUGGGGGUUGGAAAGUUUCGGCGUUUGGGGAUGGACUCGCGGCUUAUCAGCUUGUUGUGGGGUAGUGGCUUACCAAGGCUUUGACGGGUAGCCGGCGUGAGAGGGUGAGCGGCCACAUUGGGACUGAGAUACGGCCGAGACUACUAAGGGAGGCAGGAGUGGGGAAUAUUGCACAAUGGGCGGAAGCCUGAUGCAGAAACGCCGCGUGCGGGAUGACGGACUUCGGGUUGUAAACCGCUUUCGCCUGUGACGAAGCGUGAGUGACGGUAAUGGGUAAAGAAGCACCGGCUAACUACG